AGGGCAAACGGUGGAUGCCUUGGCACAAGAAGCCGAUGAAGGACGUGAUAAGCUGCGAUAAGCCACGGUAAGGAGCACAUAUCCUGUGACCCGUGGAUUUCCGAAUGGGUAAACCCACCAAGAGUCAUUUCUUGGUACUUCCUGCUGAAUAUAUAGGCAGGAUAGAGGUAACCGGGGGAACUGAAACAUCUAAGUACCCCGAGGAAGAGAAAUCAAACGAGAUUCCCCUAGUAGUGGCGAGCGAACGGGGAUAUAGGACAAACCGUCAGUUGCGCAAGCGCUGGCGGGGUUGUAGGACCAUUCAUUGUGGAGUUACAAAACUUCGUGGAAGCAGAAUAGCUUGGAAAAGCUGGCGAGACAGGGUAAAAGCCCCGUACGCGAAUCUGCGAAGACUCCCGAGUGGCACCUGAGUACUGCCGGACACGUGAAACCCGGUGGGAACCUGGGGGGUCCACCCUCCAAUCCUAAAUACUCUCUUGUGACCGAUAGUGAACCAGUACCGUGAGGGAAAGGUGAAAAGCACCCCUAGCGGGGAGUGAAAUAGUACCUGAAACCGUUUGCCUACAAGCAGUCGGAGCAGACUUUUGUCUGUGACGGCGUGCCUUUUGUAGAAUGAGCCAGCGAGUUACGGCAUGUGGCAAGGUUAAGCUAAAAAGCGAGCCGCAGCGAAAGCGAGUCUGAAUAGGGCGAGUGAGUCGCAUACCGUAGACGCGAAGCCAGGUGAGCUAUCCAUGAGCAGGCUGAAGCGGGGGUAAGACCCCGUGGAGGGCCGAACCCACUUAGGUUGAAAACUGAGGGGAUGACUUGUGGAUAGGAGUGAAAGGCCUAUCAAACCUGGAGAUAUCUCGUUCUCUCCGAAAUAGCUUUAGGGCUAGCCUCGGAUGUUUACCAAUGGGGGUAGAGCACUGAAUAGUUGCGGGGGCUUCACCGCCUACCAAGAUUAAUCAAACUCCGAAUACCAUUGGUCUAGAAUCCGGGAGUCAGAAUAUGUGGGCUAAGCUGUGUAUUCGAAAGGGAAACAGCCCAGACCGCCCGCUAAGGUCCCAAAAUCAAUGCUAAGUGGCAAAGGAUGUGCGUUUGCUCAGACAACCAGGAUGUUGGCUUAGAAGCAGCCAUUCAUUUAAAGAGUGCGUAAUAGCUCACUGGUCGAGUGGACAUGCGCCGACAAUAUACGGGGCUAAGCAUUGUACCGAAGCGGCGGAUCAGUACUUUGUACUGGUGGUAGGAGAGCUUUCUGUACGGGUUGAAGCAGUUGGAUAACCAACUGUGGACUGUCCAGAAGUGAGAAUGCUGGCAUGAGUAACGAGAGACAUGUAAAAAACAUGUCCGCCGUAAACCCAAGGUUUCCUGGGCAAGGCUAAUCCUCCCAGGGUUAGGCGGGAGCUAAGGCAAGGCCGGAAGGCGUAGUCGAUGCACAACAGGUAGAAAUUCCUGUCCCUCCAAAAGAGCGUUAUCACCAAUGGGGUGACGGAGCAGGGUAGCUAGGCGGGGUUCUGGACGUCCCCGUGAUGGCACGUAGGCUGAGAAGUAGUGAAAUGCGCUUCUCGUGAUGGCUGAGGUGUCGGACGAAGCAAUUGAGUGAAGCUAGUAAGCCCAUACUUCCAAGAAAAACCUCUAGGGAGCUCUGAGGAGCCCGUACCGCAAACCGACACAGGUGGGUGGGUAGAGCAUACCAAGGCGAUCGGGAGAACUAUGGUUAAGGAACUCGGCAAAAUUGCCCCGUAACUUCGGGAGAAGGGGUGCCGGUUUCGGUGAAGGGAUUUACUCCCCGAGCUAAGAUCGGUCACAGUAAAUAGGUCCAAGCGACUGUUUAUCAAAAACACAGGACUCUGCUGAAGUCGUAAGACGACGUAUAGGGUCUGACGCCUGCCCGGUGCCGGAAGGUCACGAGGAGUUGUUAGCAUUAGCGAAGCAGCGAAUCUAAGCCCCGGUAAACGGCGGCCGUAACUAUAACGGUCCUAAGGUAGCGAAAUUCCUUGUCGGGUAAGUUCCGACCUGCACGAAUGGUGUAAUGAUCUGGACGCUGUCUCAACCAUGAUUCCAGUGAAAUUGUAGUAUCGGUGAAGAUGCCGAUUACCCGCGAUGGGACGAAAAGACCCCGUGAACCUUUACUACAGCUUAGCAUUGACCUUGGUCAUCCGAUGUGUAGGAUAGGCCGGAGGCUUUGAAGCAUGCACGCCAGUGUGUGUGGAGCCAUCCUUGAAAUACGGCCCUUUGGCUGUCUGAGGUCUAACACGUAAUUACGUGGACAUUGUUUGGUGGGUAGUUUGACUGGGGUGGUCGCCUCCAAAAGCGUAACGGAGGCUUCUAAAGGUACCCUCAGACCGAUUGGUAACCGGUCGCAGAGUGUAAUGGCAUAAGGGUGCUUGACUGGGAGACAAACAAGUCGCACAGGUAGGAAACUAGAGCAUAGUGAUCCGGUGGUUCCGCAUGGAAGGGCCAUCGCUCAAAGGAUAAAAGGUACUCCGGGGAUAACAGGCUGAUCUCCCCCAAGAGCUCACAUCGACGGGGAGGUUUGGCACCUCGAUGUCGGCUCAUCGCAUCCUGGGGCUGGAGCAGGUCCCAAGGGUAUGGCUGUUCGCCAUUUAAAGCGGUACGCGAGCUGGGUUCAGAACGUCGUGAGACAGUUCGGUCCCUAUCC
rnacentral:rRNA from 1 species